AGAAGAGGGAAGCGGUAACAACCAAGUCUGCAUCGAAUGCCUGUCUCUAACAAUUGCCAAUGAAUUAUCUUCGAAUUCCUAUGUCUGCCAGUUGACAUAGCCUAACAUAUCACACGCACUGCACACCAGUUCUGCAAAGAAACAGGAUAUUCGCAGGCUGUGCGUUUUUUCAGCACCUGAGCAUUACUGAGGCUGUUCACCCUACUGGAUCAUGGCACAGACCAACAGUGUGGGGAGCAAUGGAGUAGCCGAUGAAUCACCCAACAUGAUUGUAUACAGAAAGAUGGAGGACGUAAUAGCCCGCAUGCAGGAUGAGAAGAAUGGAAUUCCUAUCCGCACUGUGAAAAGUUUUUUAUCCAAGAUUCCAAGUGUUUUUUCAGGUUCUGACAUUGUACAGUGGAUGAUCAAAAACCUGAAUAUUGAAGAUCAAGUGGAGGCCCUUCACCUGGGGACCCUGAUGGCUGCCCACGGCUACUUCUUCCCCAUAUCAGACCAUGUACUCACACUGAAAGACGAUGGCACUUUCUACAGGUUUCAGACCCCCUACUUCUGGCCGUCAAACUGCUGGGAACCAGAGAAUACAGACUAUGCCGUUUACCUCUGCAAAAGAACAAUGCAAAACAAAGCUCGUCUGGAGCUGGCAGACUACGAGGCGGAGAGCUUAGCGAGGCUACAGAGAGCAUUUGCCAGAAAAUGGGAGUUCAUAUUUAUGCAAGCAGAAGCACAAGCAAAAGUUGACAAGAAAAGAGAUAAGAUUGAGAGGAAAAUUCUCGAUAGUCAAGAAAGAGCGUUUUGGGAUGUGCACAGACCAGUGCCCGGAUGUGUAAACACAACAGAAGUCGACAUAAAGAAGUCCUCCAGAAUGAAAAAUCCCCAAAAGACAAGAAAGUCAGUAUAUGGGCCUCAGAAUGAUGUGCGAACCCACAGCCCCACCCACACCCCUGCCCCAGAGGCCAAGCCAGCGACAGAGGAGCAGCUACAGGACCAGAUCAAUUAUUGGGGAGGGCAAUUAGACAGACAUCGACUGAAAAUGUCCAAAGUGGCUGAGAGUUUGUUGGCCUAUACAGAGCAGUAUGUGGAAUAUGACCCCUUCAUCACGUCGACCGACCCCUCCAACCCCUGGAUCUCAGAUGACACCGCAGUAUGGGAGCUGGAGGCUAGUAAGGAGCCAGGUCAGCAGAGGGUGAAGAGGUGGGCGUUCGGCAUCAACGAGGUUCUCAAGGAUCAGGUGGGGAGGGAGCAGUUCCUCAAGUUCCUGGAGUCUGAGUUCAGCUCAGAGAACCUGAGGUUCUGGCUAGCGGUCCAGGAGGUAAAGAAGAGGCCCAUCCGGGAGGUCCCGACCCGGGUUCAGGAGAUCUGGCAGGAGUUCCUGGCCUCUGGAGCUCCCAGUGCCAUCAAUGUUGACUCAAAGAGCUAUGACAAGACCACCCAGAACGUCAAGGACCCUGGACGCUAUGCCUUUGAGGACGCACAGGAUCACAUCUUCAAGCUGAUGAAGAGUGACUCCUACAGCCGCUUCAUCCGUUCCAGUGCCUAUCAGGAGCUGCUACAGGCCAAGAAAAAGUAUGGAGGCAUUCAGGACCGCAGAACUUCAUUUGAGAAAUUCACUCGAAAUGUGAAAAGUAAGAACUUGUUUUGAAGGAUUUUACAUCCAGCUCUUUUGACAGCUCUUGAUGUAAACUGUAUUCAAUGAAUGAACUUUACUCAGAUGAAGGAACCUACAGCAUGUCUGACAUACGGGGAAAUCCCUUACAUCAAAGAGGCUGACCAACCUUGUGCCAUCAUGCUAAAAUACAGCCACUCUGCAAUAUAGAGGACCAUUUCUACGUCAUUUCUACGUCAUUUCUACAUCAUCGCCGUCUGCUUUCCACUCAGACGAUGAGCAGGGCAGUACAUCAGAUGUUGCAUGUCCAAGGAGAAGGCUUGUUAUUUCUUUUACUUGAUCUAUAUCUACUAUUGGCGAGGACAUUCAUUUUGGGGCAGGUAGGCAUUUUAGGACAGACAUUGAGACCGGAUAAUGCCUUUACAGAAAGUCAGUGUCCAGUUACUUCCACCAUAUCUGAUGGACACGCGUGUUCCUCUCCAGCUGAGCUAAUGAUGUCAGAAACUUAAAAAAUUAAGAAACGACAGCUUAACAGUAAAAUCUAAUAAAAAAUAUUAUUACUAUACAGUUCACGAUCUGUAAUCACACCUACUUUUGUCACGCUAAGGGAAGUGUUGUGCAGUAUGCAUAUAUAUAAAUGAUUAUGUUUAUUUUGCAUUGCUUUUAUUGCACUACAGUAAUUGGCACAGUUUUCAUUACAUGUGUAAAGUCUCAUUCAAGCUGCUGUCUGUUGUCUUCUGUAGAACGCACCUCUUUGUUACUCUCUCCUGCAUUUAUUUUUAUACCAUAUUUAAAGACACUUAAAAAUGUAUUAAAGUUGUCCCUUUAUCUGUUUUCACUGUCCUGGUAAUGAAUCAAUACAUUUUGUAAUGACUAGCAAGGAGUAGAUGAACAUACUGAUCUGGAGGCAUUGUUAUGAUUAUUGUCACUGAUCUGUCUGCUAAGGGCACAGACUGUCAUCUGCAGUUUAGGUGUUGCCACUAGAUGGUGGUAGAUUUAACAGAGCAUAACAUACAGUAGUUUUGGGUAUCCGUUAGAUUAGAACUGGUCUUCGCUUAUUUGACUAUAAUUUAAGGGAAUAAGUUGUACAUUUGCAAAAAAAGAAUGCUUUGUUUGUUGAUUUUGUUCAAAUGUGUAAUUUGUUAGCAAUUUAGACAUUUUAUUAUACUGUACAAAAUAUGCUACCACAAAAAGUAAGGGCUCUAUUCAAUCCGUAUCGAGGAAGUUCAGCGUUAGUGUGAUGGACAUUCAAAGGCAAUUUUCCCGCUUUUAGCGGAGACUGCAUUCACCGUAAACACUGCGUAUGUCUGCUCAAUCAGAAAUUACCUUUACAUUUCUAGAGCCCUGUGGGCUCGAUUCAAUCAGUAGCGCUGAAGAUCUGCUUUAUAGCGCGAUUGAAAUUGAAAGGUCAUUUCCGAUUGAGCCGACAUAUGCAGCAUUUACCGUGAAUGCAAUUUCCGCGAAAGGCAGGAACAUUGCCUAUGUCGCACUAUAUCGCACCAGAGCGUGGGUGUUCUGCCCUACGAAGUGAAUUGAGCCCUAAGGCUUAAUGGCUAAUAUCACUAACAGAGUUUUACAAAACAUAACCUUGUCAGUUCAGGUCAGUCAGUUUAUUAAAGCCAUGAGAAACCAUGACUUAAGAUAUUAGUCAUAGUAUGGACAAAGACUGAGUCUUGAAUUCAGCUGCUAUAGUUUCCUGCUAUUCUCUACUGGUAGGAUCAGAUGGUAAUUGUUUAGACAGUGAAGUUUUUUUUGAGGAUGUUUCAGAUCUUUGACGGUGAAUGACAGCCAGUGUUUUUUGUCUCAGUUCCAGUUCCCAGUACAUCAUUGUCUUUCUUCUUUAUACCUAAACCAAAAUAAUGGGAAUGGCAAUUUCAAAGGGUUCUGUUGACAUGUGAGUAGGCAGGAGUAAGAAUGAUUUAUGGAUUAUGUGAUUUCACACACCCAUGUUUGGGAAAAAGGAACAAUGUGUUGUGGUCUUAUGAGAGUCUCAGAGAGAGCUGAGAUGGAUGUGUCAGAUAAAAGUUUCCUUGAACCGG